rnacentral:misc_RNA from 1 species
AAACUGCGAUAAGUAGCGUGAAUUGCAGACGCUUUGAACGUUAAACUUUCGAUUAAGCACUAUCCUCUAUAGACUAAUUGGUGAAUCACGAGUCCGGCUGCGUCGCCAAGUCAGUCGGACGUGUUUUGCCAUCAUGCUCUAGAGGAUAGUGCUUAAUCGAAAGGUUGAGCCUACCUACCACACGGAUGGGCUAUCAGCUGAAAGCGAUAGGUCCCGAUCCUAGGGUAUCUGGAAUCGCGCUCUUCGGGGCGUAAAUACUCUAGGAUGACAGGGAUAUCGGCUGCGUAGUUUCAUACGUGCUUGGUUCAAGUUCAAUAACUUCGUUUUCCCGACCUCAACUCAGGUGUGAUUACCCGCUGAACUUAA